GGCAAAGAACAUCACCCCCCCCACUGAUGCAUAGGCCUAUCCACAAGUAUGGCUGUAUGCUGGACUGGUAGUCAGUGACGGGUAUGAUCCAAUUGCAGUGGUAACAACCUAAGACAGGAGGCUGAUGCCUGGAGGUCAGUUCAUCCCAUGACGGGUAAGAACCAUAUGUUGAAUUGGACAACCUACCAGGCAUGGUUCCUAAGCCACAUUGCUUGUUGUUUAAUCAGAAGGGGGGAGAUGCUGAGAGCCAUAGCUAAGUAGGUACACAUGGCAAUUUCCUUGUCAGCCUACCCCAUGUUGCUUAGAGGAAGGACUCUCCAUUGUGGAAAUGGGCUUGCCUUGGACCCAGGUCAUUUGCAGUGACAUUGCAUGACCAGGACGGAUCCGGGUUUGGGGCGGUUCCAGGUUUAAGGUGAUUCCUGCUGGGAAUAGGGCGUAUCCUGCUGCCUCAGGUGCCCACUCCUUGAGUUCCCGUUGAGUUCUCGCGGGAUUGAGAGAGUAUUUGGGAUGUAGAGUGCUGGUAGAAUUCCCCCAGAACAUGCAUGUAGAAUGCCGGUGAGAAGUCGGGAAUAAAGACU
rnacentral:lncRNA from 1 species